GGCAUUUCCAUUUCCCAACAUGCAUUCUUGUAUCCAGCGUCGAUCUCCUCCCUCAGGCGUCCCUGGCUGCGCACCAGAGUGAGAAUGAAUAAAUAAUAUGAAGGUGUGGCUGGAUGUCUGGGAUCCUGACUCAGGAUUCCAUUUCCCUGACAAGAGAGCUUGGACGGUGUCCGUUUCGAGUUGCCUGGCGACUUUUUCCAAGAAACUAGGAACAGUCAGCACAACCUGUCCGAGUCGGUGGGCACGGCUACAACUCCUCCAGUCAACAUGCCAGGUGCCUGGAUAUGAUUUCAGAUAAGGAAAACAAUAAAAGGGACAUCGCCACUGAUCAUUAGCUACGUUUUCAUGGACAAGAGUAAG